UCCUGACACAAGGUUAGAAUUCUAGCUCUUCCAGAGUGGUAUCUCACUGAUGGCUCGGGUCCCCCGGAAAGGGGCCUUCUUCUUCCGCUUCUGUACAAGCGCGGAAUCUCUAAUUGGAAGAGGGUCAUGAGCAAAUUCAGGGUCUGGAACGGGCCCUAGAGAACGAGGGGGAUCCAGGCCGGCGUCGGGAAUUAGGCGCGCG
rnacentral:lncRNA from 1 species